rnacentral:rRNA from 1 species
UGCAAGUCGAGCGACAGAGAAGGAGCUUGCUCCUUUGAGGUUAGCGGCGGACGGAAGAGUAACACGUGGGCAACCUACCCUAUAGUUUGGGAUAACUCCGGGAAACCGGGGCUAAUACCGAAUAAUCUAUUUUACCUCAUGGUGAAAUAUUGAAAGGCGGCUUCGGCUGUCGCUAUUAGAUGGACCCGCGGCGCAUUAGCUAGUUGGUGAGGUAACGGCUCACCAAGGCAACGAUGCGUAGCCGACCUGAGAGGGUGAUCGGCCACACUGGGACUGAGACACGGUCCAGACUCCUACGGGAGGCAGCAGUAGGGAAUCUUCCGCAAUGGACGAAAGUCUGACGGAGCAACGCCGCGUGAGUGAUGAAGGCUUUCGGGUCGUAAAACUCUGUUGUUAGGGAAGAACAAGUGCUAGUUGAAUAAGCUGGCACCUUGACGGUACCUAACCAGAAAGCCACGGCUAACUACGUGCCAGCAGCCGCGGUAAUACGUAGGUGGCAAGCGUUAUCCGGAAUUAUUGGGCGUAAAGCGCGCGCAGGUGGUUUCUUAAGUCUGAUGUGAAAGCCCACGGCUCAACCGUGGAGGGUCAUUGGAAACUGGGAGACUUGAGUGCAGAAGAGGAAAGUGGAAUUCCAUGUGUAGCGGUGAAAUGCGUAGAGAUAUGGAGGAACACCAGUGGCGAAGGCGACUUUCUGGUCUGUAACUGACACUGAGGCGCGAAAGCGUGGGGAGCAAACAGGAUUAGAUACCCUGGUAGUCCACGCCGUAAACGAUGAGUGCUAAGUGUUAGAGGGUUUCCGCCCUUUAGUGCUGAAGUUAACGCAUUAAGCACUCCGCCUGGGGAGUACGGCCGCAAGGCUGAAACUCAAAGGAAUUGACGGGGGCCCGCACAAGCGGUGGAGCAUGUGGUUUAAUUCGAAGCAACGCGAAGAACCUUACCAGGUCUUGACAUCCUCUGACAACCCUAGAGAUAGGGCUUCUCCUUCGGGAGCAGAGUGACAGGUGGUGCAUGGUUGUCGUCAGCUCGUGUCGUGAGAUGUUGGGUUAAGUCCCGCAACGAGCGCAACCCUUGAUCUUAGUUGCCAUCAUUAAGUUGGGCACUCUAAGGUGACUGCCGGUGACAAACCGGAGGAAGGUGGGGAUGACGUCAAAUCAUCAUGCCCCUUAUGACCUGGGCUACACACGUGCUACAAUGGACGAUACAAAGAGUUGCCAGCUCGCGAGAGGGAGCUAAUCCGAUAAAAUCGUUCUCAGUUCGGAUUGUAGGCUGCAACUCGCCUACAUGAAGCCGGAAUCGCUAGUAAUCGCGGAUCAGCA